GAGCGAGCUGUCAACUUUUUCAAUCGCACGCGUGUUCAAUCCUGAAUGUGUUGGCAGCAGUUUGCGUGCGCGUGUGCUUGUAAAAAACAACUUCCGGCGUCAAAUCCGCCGGGGGACCGAACCAGAACAGCUCCAGGACGGCAGAAUUUGAAUAUUUGGGGACUUCUUCCAAUUUACGGGAUUCAACGCUACGGACGGAGGCGCUCGAUUGGGAAAAGGAGGCCCAGCGCCAGCUGCGGACUUUCCCGGCCGCCGUCAAGGUGUAGCCUUCUAGACGGAGCACAACACGCAAGGUGCUGAACGCGUUCCCGCGGUGUUGGUUGGAUAGUUCUGCCGAGUGAUGAACUCAGGGACUUACUCGAUCCUGUAUUAGGUGUGAGCCAAGUAAUGCUGCAGGGGAGUUUCAGUUCGGCCGCAAUCAUUCGAAGACAGAGGAACACCAUCGCCCAUGGGUCACUUGAUCACCAAUAGAACACACCCAGCACAAACAGGCUGCUUGUUUGAAUCACCGAAUCGAUCUGGCGUUUGCUGGCGGUGCGCUACUACAGAUGCAGAAGGAGUGCGAAAAGGGUAGAAGGAGUUCGUGUGAAGAUUCAGCAUGCAAAAGGUCAAAAUCAACCGUGAGCGAACGUGGCAUCUUCAGCGACGGGGGAAGGAUUGCCGUGGCGGAGGAAAAUUUAAGAAACCAUGAUUUGUCACACACACACACACACACACACACACAAACGUACACAGCUUUCUGGGCCAGCAAAAAAAGUACAGUAUAAUUUAGUGAAGAGAAAAAAAUAAAUAAAAUGAAAAUACAAUGGAACAUACUGUAGUUAUUAUUUAUUUCAUUGUCCGAAUAUAGUUUUUACAGUACCAUUUAGUAGGGAAAAAACCAUGAAGAACUGUAGAUUGACCGUGCAAUCCAUUGUAAUGCUUGCUGUUUUUAUUAUUAAUGUAUGAUGUUUUCUAUAGUCAGGACGAGUUUUUGGAUGAAAAAUGCAACAUUAGAUUAACAGUAAAAUGUGUCGUAUUUGGAAAAAAAAAGUAUGGAAAAAUUUCGAAAUUUUUAUGGUACCGGUGCAUAACAACCCCCCUUUUUUAUGGUAAAAUCCCAAAAUACGACGCAAAUUAUCUUAAAAAACGAUGCUGUCUACUGUUAAAACACUGUCAAAAUGACAAUAUAUUUUAUCGUUUUGUAACGUUAAAAUUUACUGUAAGUUCAUCAGAAAUCUUUAUGCGGGUAUCUAUUCGUCAUACGAUUAGGAUGGUUCGAAACAGCUAUUGUUAGAACAUAAUAGUACUGUAGCUGGUAUGAUAAAAGUUAUGAUACUCGGUAUGAUUUAGUCAAAGAAACCUAAGCGGAAAAUUUCCUAAAUUUCCUAAGUCCUAAUAAUUGAAACAAUUGCACAACAAUUGAUGGUACGAUAUAAUUAUUCCUCAUAUGUUUGGUAUUAUUUCAAACAGUUUUUGUAUGAUUGAGCCAAAAAUGAAUUUUAGCGAAAAUUUUCUUAAGUCCCAAUGAUUCUAACAAUUGUUCAACAAUUCAUGGAGAAAUAUAACUUUUCGCCAUAUGGUAAGGAUUUUUCGGAACAGCUAUUGUUAAAACAUAAGGGUACCAUAGCCGACGUAGUAUUUCCAACUUGAAGUUCAGCGAAAAACUCUUAAGUCCCAAUAAUCCAAACAAUUGAACAACAAUUCAUGGAACGAUAUAAUUGUUCGCCAAACCCUUAGGAUUAUUUGAAACAGGAAUUGUAUGAUUGAGCCAAAUGAACUACAGCAAAAAAAAAAUCUUAAGUCCGAAUAAUUCAGAUAAUAUUUUAACAAUUCAUGGAACGAUAUACCUGAAUUAUGGCGAAAAUUUUCCUAAGUCCCAACAAUUCAAACCAUUGUUCAACAAUUCAUGGAACGAUAUACCUGAAUUAUGGCGAAAAUUUUCCUAAGUCCCAACAAUUCAAACCAUUGUUCAACAUUUCAUGGAAUGAUAUACCUGAACUUCAGCGAAAAUUUUCCUAAGUCCCAACAAUUCAAAC